GUGGCUCGUGGUAGAUCGGACCUUGGUCCAAAUAUUCCUUUCAAACGGUUGCGCAUUUUGCCUGGAGUGAUGACCGUCAUGAUAACCGUCUGUUUCCUAUCUUAUGGCUAGUAACGGACGUUAGUUACUGUCGAGUGAUGACCGUCAUGAUAACCGUCUGUUUCCUAUCUUAUGGCUAGUAACGGACGUCAGUUACUGUCGAGUGAUGACCGUCAUGAUAACCGUCCGUUUCCUAUCUUAUGGCUAGUAACGGACGUCAGUUACUGUCGUCAGUUUCCAGCUCUAAUGCGCGACCGUUUCUGUCCGUUGUUCUUCUCCCUUCUUCUGACCGCCUAUAAGAAUGGAGAGGGAGGGCUCUUCCAGUUACGCGAAUUAUCUCACGCGAAUUGCAAACAACACAUUCCCGUCCCAUCUUCUGCGAGCACAGAGAGAGUGGGAGAGCAGGCCUCCGAAAUCACCGACCGCAGAGAUACACUUGCACGGGUGUGCGGGCGAUCAGAUUUUUGGGGAGCGUCUUCGCGACUGCUCGCGUGAUCGUCCACAGCUUGCUGUUCGUCGCCUUCCCAAGUUGACGCGUGCUGCUGUUCUUCUUCCCGGCGACCGUUCGAGGGACUGCACUGCGUACAUCUUCCUGCACCGACUUCGUACGGCUACAUCGAACAAACACACGAGAUGUCUCGUGUGAAUGGAGCCACUGGUGCCUUGAGCAUCGGUCCCUCCGCUGGGUACACUCUGUUCUUCGUAUUUAUGCAUGUUUCAUUGUUGUUUACUGCUUAUGCGAGUAGUUAUACACACAUGCACAUACAUGUCAUCACAUAUAUCGCACUGAUUAUCUGGAUUAAAUUAAAACUAAAAAUGCCUAACUCUCUAACAGUCAUUGUGUUGUUCGUUUUCAUAGAUCAUCUUAUGCAAUUAUUUGUGUGUUGUCGGCGGCGCGCUAUGGCUACCGGCGAAGAACUACCUGAUCCCCAUGGACGGAGCUGGUACCUAAUGCCUGACAAACGCGCUGAUAAACACAGUCAUGUUAAUCAUUGGGAACGUGCAGCAGCAGGGCACCGGUGUCAGCUUUGACACCGCCAAGGGCGCCAUCGUCUUCACCCCCAACAAGUGUUAGCCUGCCUCUUGGUUAGCGAGCCACUAUUGAUGGAUUUAGUAGCUGUAGUGUAAUGAUUUGUGCCAUAUCAUUCUUUGUUUAAUCAAUUUUUUUGUGUUCUAUGUGAUAUACAUGGCCCUUGGUUAGGUAAUGUAGUGCAACCCCCACAUACAUAAUUUGUUACAAUUAAAAGAAGUAAACAGAAAUAUUCAUUUUUCUCUCUUGAGAUUCCUCUGUAUGCAUGCAAUAAUUCCUAAAUGCAGCAUCCUUCAUUUUUGCUAAAUCACAUCAUCAAAUCUGGUUCACUCUAUUUGAAUUUUUGUAAUGUAACCUUCUAAUAGGCUGCAUAUGUUCUAUAUUUACAGGUGUUUUGUUAUUGCAAAAGCAUCUAAAAGAGCGCGGUUGUUCAUGAUCAUCUAAUUUUUAGUUUUUCAUAUUGCAGGGGAGUAGCUGACUAUUACUCUCUAUUGCGCUAGGUAGCAUGAAGAACCGAUAUUCAAAUUACUCUCUUACACUCUACUACACUGAUGAACAUAAAUAACUGGUACUUACAUGACCUACCAACAAGAGAUUCAUGCGUUCCUUUAACUUCUCCAUCAACUGGACCAAAAGCUACUGAUAGAUCAGCCAACACACCUAUGUCAGUGAUGUGUGAUGAUGGACUGCCAGCUACGUGAGGCAACAAUAGAAACAUUUAUGUUGAUAAGGCACCGGUUCAAGCAAGCAAAAGGAACCUUACAAGUGAGUUGGUCCCUCCUGCAUAUUCACGAGCUAUAAUAAAUUAUUCAAUGAUUCUCAAACCCACCAAAGUGCUACAAAGAAAAGAUUGUGCUAAACACUUUAAAGGGGUCAAGAGUCACGCAUACGGUGAAGAGAUAGAAAAGAGUUUCACAAAGCUGCUUGUAGAAGAACUAAAACAAAGAGAAGAGGAGGCAACACAGGCUCAACAAGAGGCUGAUGUUAAGUUGAUCGAGGCCAAAAAGUUAGCUUCACAGUAUCAGAAGGAGGCUGACAAAUGCAGCUCAAGCAUGGAUAACCUAUGAAGAAGAUAGGGAGAACUCAGCGGAAGCAUUGGUCCAACAAAAGAAACUGACUUCUUUGUGGGAGCAAAGGGCUUGGGAGCUUGGAUGGAGACCCGAGAAUGUCAAGGCACUUCUAAAGUAGUAAAACCAGUGGAAGGUGUUGGAUACUAUGUGUAGCAAUAGAUCUUAUUGCAAAUACGGGCCCACUAAGAGCUCGAGACGAUGAGGAAACAAAUGUGUUUCUGGUUGAGCGGACUCGACUCACUUGACAUGCCAAGGGGCCUACUUGUCCAUAGUAAAUUUAUAUUCAAUUUGUAGUAUAAUUCCAUUGUUGUUUGUGAACACUGUUGUGUGUUGGGAUGGUCAUAGGAUUACAUUGUUCAUUUUUUCUGGGUGUUCUAAAAGGAGAAAAGUUUGUCUAGGGGUGGUGACAAUAAAGAAAUUAUCUGCAGUUCUUAAGUUC